UCUAGGAAGGUUCUUCUAGCUCCAGGAAGGUUCUUCUGCUCUGGGAAGGUUCUUCUGGCUAUGAGAAGGUUCUUCUGCUCUGGGAAGGUUCUUCUGCUCUGAGAAGGUUCUUCUGCUCUGAGAAGGUUCUUCUGGCUAUGAGAAUGUUCUUCUGCUCUGAGAAGGUUCUUCUGGCUUUAGGAAGGUUCUUCUGCUCUGAGAAGGUUCUUCUGGCUAUGAGAAGGUUCUUCUGCUCUGAGAAGGUUCUUCUGGCUCUAGGAAGGUUCUUCUGCUCUGAGAAGGUUCUUCUGGCUAUGAGAAUGUUCUUCUGCUCUGGGAGAUGCUCCUCUGACUAGCACUCAUUCAUUCCAGCUUUAAUCACCACCUCAAGUCUUGUGUUGGCAGGAAAUCAAAGUGAGACUGAGUGCUUC